rnacentral:rRNA from 1 species
UACGUAGGUGACGAGCGUUGUCCGGAUUUACUGGGCGUAAAGAGCGCGCAGGCGGCUGGUCAAGUCCGAUGUGAAAGCUCCCGGCUUAACUGGGAAAUUGCAUCGGAAACUGAUCGGCUGGAAGGUGGGAGAGGGUAGCGGAAUUCCCGGUGUAGUGGUGAAAUGCGUAGAUAUCGGGAGGAACACCAGUGGCGAAAGCGGCUACCUGGCCCAUUCUUGACGCUGAGGCGCGAAAGCUAGGGGAGCAAACGGG